CAGCGUUCAGAAUUUAUUCCCCUGCACUCGACUUGUAUUGUUUUGUUUUGUUUACAUUGCUAAACUGUCAGUGCAAAGCAAAAACUUAAUUAAUGUGUUUACAUGGGCUUCAAGCAUAACAUGUGUCAUACAUAGGCGCCUAUCAAUGAAUACGAAACUCUCGGAAUGAAUCAUCCCAUGUAUAAAUUGAUAAAACACACACAAAAACUGGGUAAAAGCAGGGGACUAAUGAACAAGGAAAACAAAGCGCGACAACAAUUUGAUUAACCGAUGAUGUGAUGUGAAACUGAAAGGUAGAACUAAAAAAAUCAAUAACCAAAAGGUAUGACGCCACAGAAUCUCAACCAAUAAAGGCCAAUUUAUAAUA